CGAAAGCGAGUCUGAAUAGGGCGCAUAAGUAACAGGUCGUAGACCCGAAACCAGGUGAUCUACCCAUGUCCAGGAUGAAGGUAAGGUAAUACUUACUGGAGGUCCGAACCCACGCACGUUGAAAAGUGCGGGGAUGAGGUGUGGGUAGCGGAGAAAUUCCAAUCGAACUUGGAGAUAGCUGGUUCUCUCCGAAAUAGCUUUAGGGCUAGCCUCGAGGUAAAGAGUCAUGGAGGUAGAGCACUGUUUGGACUAGGGGCCCUUCUCGGGUUACCGAAUUCAGAUAAACUCCGAAUGCCAUGUACUUAUACUCGGGAGUCAGACUGCGAGUGAUAAGAUCCGUAGUCGAAAGGGAAACAGCCCAGACCACCAGUUAAGGUCCCCAAAUAUAUGUUAAGUGGAAAAGGAUGUGGGGUUGCUUAGACAACCAGGAUGUUGGCUUAGAAGCAGCCACCAUUGAAAGAGUGCGUAAUAGCUCACUGGUCGAGUGACCCCGCGCCGAAAAUGUACCGGGGCUAAACAUAUUAC
rnacentral:rRNA from 1 species